GUCAACAGAUGCCACAGCUGAUCUCAAGUGAUGAGUUACAGUCAAAACAUAGGUAAAAUUUUGCAUACAACAGCCCUCAGGCUACGUACCUAAGGUGUUUAUAGGAAAUAUAAAUGAAUCUCAUGUUUAGAUUUAGGUCCCAUACCUAAGAUAUCUCAUUAUGUAUGUGCAAAUAUUCCAAAAUAUGAAAAAAUCCAAAAUCCAAACUCUUUCUCAUCCCAAGCAUUUUGGGUAAAGGAUGCUCAAUGUAGAGUGAAUCCCUGUCCUUGGCCAAAAGUAUUUAUAUAAAGCAGUAGAAGUAAAGGAGAAAGUACAGGAUAUUUGUUACUUUUUAUACUGCCAGGCAGGACUAAACCUCAAAUGUAGUAUUUUUUAUAAAAUGAUAUUUUUAGUUUUUUAUUGCCUUGAGUAGAUUAAUGUAUUAGGUUUUUUAUAAAUGAGAAAUGGCCAGACCACUGCAGUUAGACUUGGUAGAUUAGGAUCUUCAUGACCUCUUUGUCCAGUCUCAAUAAUUACUCAAGCUUCCAGAUCAGUAAAAGU
rnacentral:lncRNA from 1 species